GACGAACGCUGGCGGCGUGCUUAACACAUGCAAGUGGAGCGACGAACCAGGCUUCGGCCUGGGGCAGAGCCGCGAACGGGUGAGUAACACGUGGGUAACCUGCCUCGAUGACCGGGACAACCCGGGGAAACCGGCUAAUACCGGAUGUGCUGCCUUCACAUCAGUGGAGACAGGAAAGGAAGCUUCGGCCUCCGCAUCGAGAUGGGCCCGCGGCCCAUUAGCUUGUUGGNGAGGUAAUGGCUCACCAAGGCCGCGAUGGUAGCUGGUCUGAGAGGACGAUCAGCCACACUGGGACUGAGACACGGCCCAGACUCCUACGGGAGGCAGCAGUGGGGAAUCUUGCGCAAUGCGCGAAAGCGUGACGCAGCAACGCCGCGUGGGGGAAGAAGGCCU
rnacentral:rRNA from 1 species